UGAGAGAAAGAGAAGGGUGUAAGAAACCGGAAGCUGAGGUGCUUCUUAAUCGGCGGUGUCAAAUCUGUAGCAGGGUAAAUAUGGGUAAUGAUUCUCAUAUUUUUUAGUCUUUCCAUAGCUCUAUAUAUUGUACAACUCAGUCGUGUUUCAUCUCUGUUGGUUUGUAGUAUAUAUGUAAGUAUAUCUGCAUAGACGUUUGGCUAUCAGACUUUACAAUUGGAGAUCAUCUUACCUACACAAAAGUGAUAAGAUUGAGCCUAUAUAUAAUUAUCACAUGCUAAAUAUUAUAUCUUCCCUUUAUUAGAGGUUGUUGUAUAAAAGAGGACUUGAGCAUAUUAAUUCGCACAUAUAUCUUUCUUAUUGGUUUUGAGAGAAACUAUUUACGUAUAUGCUGGUAUUCAUGCAUAUAACUUUGCACAAGCCAGAGUAAACCAAGCUAGCUUUCUCGGCAUGGAACUAUCCGCAUAUGUUCAUAGGUUUAAGAACUAAAUAGUAAAAAAAAGGGUAGACAGGAUGAGAUCAGAUUAAGUGUGAGGAUAUAAUUUUGUAUUUAUUUAUUUAGCCUUGUAAAUAAUUAUUGAGUUAUUUUAAAUAAGAAGAAUUUUAUUUUUCA